rnacentral:sRNA from 1 species
CUGUUGCUACAACCGCACAGAACAGGUAAAGCAUAAGUUGUAUUUUACAACACCUGUAUGGCGAGUCUGAGUUUUUGA